CCUCUUGAGGCCGUGCGGUCCGCCCCCUAUAUUGGCCGUGUUCCCGGCAACGGGGACUAUGGACAUAAACGCGCUCGGAAUAAGCGGAUCGGACCCGGGGGCGGUACCCGGCGGCUCCACCAAAGUCCUUCAUUGGGGGCAAAUGGGGCCGAAACAGGAUCGACGAACGUCUAAAGGGGUUUGCUUUGUCCCGGUGAG
rnacentral:tmRNA from 1 species